rnacentral:piRNA from 1 species
UUCUCUUACUUGUGAAGCCCAACUGCUUU